rnacentral:rRNA from 1 species
CCUACGGGAGGCAGCAGUGGGGAAUAUUGCGCAAUGGGGGAAACCCUGACGCAGCAACGCCGCGUGAGUGAGGAAGGACUUCGGUCUGUAAAGCUCUGUUAAUGUGGAAAAAUGGUAGUUGGUCUAAUAGGCCGAUUAUUUGAUGGUACACAUAGAGGAAGCACCGGCUAACUUCGUGCCAGCAGCCGCGGUAAUACGAAGGGUGCAAGCGUUGUUCGGAUUUAUUGGGCGUAAAGCGCGCGUAGGCGGACCUGUAAGUCAGAUGUGAAAUCUCGGGGCUCAACCUCGAAACUGCGUCUGAAACUGCAGGUCUAGAAUCUCGGAGGGGGAAGGGGAAUUUCGCAUGUAGGGGUAAAAUCCGUAGAUAUGCGAAGGAACACCAGAGGCGAAGGCGCCUUCCUGGACGAGUAUUGACGCUGAGGCGCGAAAGCGUGGGGAUCAAACAGGAUUAGAUACCCUGGUAGUCCACGCUGUAAACUAUGAACACUAGGUAUUGGAGGAUUUGACCCCUUCAGUGCCGUAGCUAACGCGUUAAGUGUUCCGCCUGGGAAGUACGGUCGCAGACUAAACGUCAAAUGAAUUGACGG